AACUUAAGCAUAUCAAUAAGCGGAGGAAAAGAAACUAACAAGGAUUCCCCUAGUAACUGCGAGUGAAGCGGGAAAAGCUCAAAUUUAAAAUCUGGCGGUCUUUGGCCGUCCGAGUUGUAAUCUAGAGAAGUAAUGCCCGUGCUGGACCGUGUAUAAGUCUCCUGGGAUGGGGCGUCAUAGAGGGUGAGAAUCCCGUCUUUGACACGGACUACCAGUGCAUUGUGGUAUGCUCUCAAAGAGUCGAGUUGUUUGGGAAUGCAGCUCAAAAUGGGUGGUAAAUUCCAUCUAAAGCUAAAUAUUGGCGAGAGACCGAUAGCGAACAAGUACCGUGAGGGAAAGAUGAAAAGAACUUUGGAAAGAGAGUUAAACAGUACGUGAAAUUGCUGAAAGGGAAACGCUUGAAGUCAGUCGCGUUGGCCAGGGAUCAGCCUUGCUCUUGCAUGGUGUACUUUCUGGUUGACGGGUCAGCAUCAAUUUUGACCGCUGGAAAAGGGCCUGGGGAAUGUGGCAGCUUCGGCUGUGUUAUAGCCCCUGGUCGCAUACGGUGGUUGGGAUUGAGGAACUCAGCACGCCGCAAGGCCGGGUUUCGACCACGUUCGUGCUUAGGAUGCUGGCAUAAUGGCUUUAAGCGACCCGUCUUG
rnacentral:rRNA from 1 species